GAUCCUGGCUCAGGAUGAACGCUAGCUACAGGCUUAACACAUGCAAGGUCGAGGGGGCAGCAUGCUGAUAGCUUGCUAUCAGUGAUGGCGACCGGCGCACGGGUGAGUAACGCGUAUCCAACCUGCCUGUCACUCAGGAAUAGCCCGGUAGAAAACCGGAUUAAGUCCUGAUGAUAUCAUUAGAGGGCAUCUGACGAUGAUUAAAGGUUACGGUGACGGAGUGGGGAUGCGUCUGAUUAGCUAGUUGGUGAGGUAACGGCCCACCAAGGCGACGAUCAGUAGCCGGACUGAGAGGUUGAACGGCCACAUUGGGACUGAGACACGGCCCAGACUCCUACGGGGAGGCAGCAGGUGGGGAAUAUUGCACAAUGGGGGAAACCCUGAUGCAGCGAUGCCGCGUGGAGGAAGAAGGUUUUCGGAUUGUAAACUCCUGUCUUAAAGGACGAUAAUGACGGUACUUUAGGAGGAAGCUCCGGCUAACUACGUG
rnacentral:rRNA from 1 species